rnacentral:lncRNA from 1 species
CCUGAGAUGGGGAUUAGGUGCUGCAGGUGGGAUUCGGUACCCAAGCUGCUAGCAAAGGAAGAUUGAGGGAUGCAGAGAUGUCCAACUUGAAGAAACAAUGAGGAAAACACUUUAUCCCGUUGAACUUCAGUACUGAAAGCAAAGAGGACCUUAACCUGCCAGUUGUCCCUCAACUACCAUGUGUGAUCCAAAGACAAAGGAGGAAGUUACUGGAAAGACUCUAAACUGACAUCAAGAGGAUUCAUAUUUCAUACCUAAUUGUCAUUCAGAUGGGUGCUUUAGGAAUAUUUCCAAGACCACGUUUGGCCCUGCUGCUGUUCUUGUCCACACGUGAUCAUCCAGAGCAACACUUGACGGAACAGAAAGCAAAGCCUGCACUGUAAUGUCUUCCGUCUUCUCCCCACAUACCAGAAACUUGAUCAUCUGCCAGUGAGUAAUAAAUGUAUUCUUUCAUGCA